rnacentral:lncRNA from 1 species
GAAAAAGGAAAUUACGGAGAAGAAGAAUCGCUUCUUGAUCUCAACUCUCAAUUUCAAUGCAAUCUAUGAAUCUCACUUCUCAAUGGGGCGAAGAAGGAUCUGUCUCCAUUCUUCAUUCGCAUUUACUCAGUGGUAAUUAAUUCUUCACUCUCACUCGUCUUAUUUCCUGCAGAUUUCUUCAUUUUCCUUCACUGUUCAUUUUUAAGGUUCCAUUGUAUUUCCAUUGAGUUUGCAACCGUUCAAUUGCUCGAUCCUUAUUAGUUUUUGGACUUCAAUGACCAUAGAAGAAAAUUAUCACAAACUCUUCCUUAUUUUGUCUUUGUUUUUUUAUUUGUUUAUGCAUGUUUCCUUUGCUGAUUUAUUUACUUAUUUCUUUCUCUGAUGUCCCAAUUUAUCCUAUGAUAUUUCAAUUGAUGUAUUACGUUCAUGUUAUGUUUAUGGAUGCUUGCUCUACUGUCCUAAUUUACAAUUAAAUUUUACUCCGUCCUUAGCUAUCGAUUCACAGUGGUGUUUCAUUAAUAUGUACUUGUCUUAUUUUAUAUUUCAUUAACUAUUAUUUCAACAAUUGCCGCAGGUGUCAAAUAAUGAAUUUGUAUGAGCUUCAGUCCAAGGUAAUUAUCUUUUUCAUUUCAUGUUAUUUGAUCUCUAGGUUUAUUUUAUCGUUUCAUCUAAAUUAUUUGGAAUGCAUCAGCUGGUUUAUUCUUAAUUUUGGAACGAAUUUGAUGCAGCGGAUGGUUGCGUAGGAUGAGUGGAGUAUCUCUCUAGGUUGCGUAGGAUGAGUGGAGUAUCUCUCUAGGGUAACAACUUGAGCUAUAAGUAUCUAUUUAGGGUGUAUAAUAUACAUUUCGAAGUUCGCGACGAGGGGAAACUAAUCUAAUACUGUAGCGCCGCAUUAGUCUCGUGGUUCGAUUGAAAAUUAUAUUUAUUUCAUAUUAUUUUACAAGUUUAAGAUCUAUUUUCCUAUUGUUUUUAGGAUUUUUAUCUUUUUUUUUUCUAGAUAUAGAAUUUGAGUAACAUUUAUCUUAUUUCAGUUAGGAGAAUGUUAUUAUGUAGUAAUAUGUUAGGUUUAGUUAUUUUGGUAAAUUUGUUAUAUUUAAGUUUAGUUUAAAAGAAGUCCAAAACCUUAAUUUUGUUAUUCAGACUUUCAUUAAUAAAAUAUAAAACUUUCUAAAAGAGAAAAUGUUCGUCUGGUACCUAUAUUUUAACUUCAAUGCUCGUUUAGUUAUUAUAUUUUAAAAAAUACCUCAAUAUACCUUGAUAUUAAAUACGUUACAUUUUUCCUUAAAUUUUAUUUACUUUUACAAUAAUAUCUUGGCAAUAAUAUUCUUAAAUUAAUUUCAUUUAUUUAUAAAAAAUUUAAUUGGAAAAUUAAUCAAUAAAUAUCAAUAUGAAAUAACCAGUAUUUUUUUGUACUUUUACAACAAUCUUGCCAAUAAUUCUUUAUAAAUAAAUCAAUAGCAGCCAUCUUAAAGUAAUGUUUAAUAUUCUUAAAGCAAUCUUACUAAUAAAUGCAUAAAAAAAUUAAUUUACGAAAUUAGUCCUAAAACUAAAAUAAUAACAUAAAAGUUUUUAUUAAUAUUUAUUUUGUUUAAGGCUGGUUAGAUGAAUUACCAUUUUUUUCUUUUCAUUGAUAUUCCCAAAAAUAUUAUUCCAACACAGUAGGGGUGUCUUGAGGUUAGGGAUGGCAAUGGGGAGGGGAGGGGAGGGGACUAAUCUCCCCGUACCCAUCCCCGAUAUUUUGCGUAUGUCCUCGUCCCCUCCCCGUCCCCGUCCCCGUCAGAAUUACUUGAGAGAAUCUUCAUCCCCUCCCCGAAUAAUAACAGAGGAUCCUCGAGGGUCCCCGAUCCCCGAAUAACUAAUACAUUUUUUUUAUUUUCAAUUUUGAGUUAAUUAUAUUAAAAUAAAAAAAUUCAAAUAAAAGUAAAUUUCGAAAUAUAUCUUACAUGAAUAUCUAUUUCAAAAGUCACAUACAUUAAAUUAGUAAGUAACGCAGCAUGCAAGGGAUACAAACUAUCAUGAACAAAUUAAUAGUCUAAUACAAAAUUGUUACAAAUAAAAUCGAAUUUAGAUUCAAAAUUAACUUUUUCAAUGGUGGCGUGGGCACUUUAUAAAUGUGGACUAUUCCCUUUACAGCACAAUAGUUAAGUCCGAGCAAAUCAAGAGCAAAUAUUAGAUUAGAUUAGAUAUUAAAAUUGUGAUUCGCUGUGGGCAAUUAUAACAUCUAAAAAUAAAUAAAUAAAUAGAUUUAAGUUUAAAAUAUUUAAUGAAUAUUAAAAUUAAAACAAAAUUUUUGGGCUAAUAGAAUCUACUGGUCUUUUUAAUGUCCUAAAUAAAAAUUUAAGACUUUAAUUUGUUAAUUAGGCCUAAAAGUUUAAUAAUAUAAAUAUUUUGAUAUUUGUUAUUUUUACCAAUAUUUAUAAUUUUAUAAUUUAUUUACUAGUAAUUUUAAAAAAUUAAAAUAAAAUUAAAAAUUAAAAUGGGGAAAUGGGUAGGGUAUGGGGAUUCCACCUCAUCGCCGUCCCCUCCCCAAAUAAGAAAUUGGGUAUGAAAUUAUCCCCAUACCCUCCCCAAAUAGGGAAAAUCCCCGAUGGUACCCGUCCCCGUGGGGAUUUUUGCCAUCCCUACUUGAGGUUGAGGCACUUUUUAAAAUAUAAGAACUAAAUGCGCUCUCAAGUCAAAAUAUAGAGACUAAAUGAACAUUUAUUCCUUUUAAAAAGCUUGUGUUUCUCUAUCUUUUCAAUCUCAAUGUUUUUGUUUCCGUUUCAUCAUAAGUUCUAAUGUUUGGUUCUCAUCUUAAUGUGCAAAUUUUACAUCAUUGAAGGUCUUUUGAUCUGAGUUAAGAUCAUAAAAUUAUACUUGCAUUGGUCAGGUUAUACGAAAAUUGUACAAAAUAAUAUUCUUAUAUAACUGUUGUCCUCUGUUAUUACGGAAUCCCCAAGUUCUGAAGAAGGUCGAAAUCAGGUCUCUCUACUGUGAAGCCCCUGGAAUAAGAG